UGUCCGGCGACCGGCGCACGGGUGCGUAACGCGUAUGCAACCUACCCAUUACAGGGGGAUAACACUGAGAAAUCGGUACUAAUACCCCAUAACAUCCAGGGAGGCAUCUUCUUGGGUUGAAAACUCCGGUGGUAAUGGAUGGGCAUGCGUUGUAUUAGUUAGUUGGUGGGGUAACGGCUCACCAAGACAACGAUACAUAGGGGGACUGAGAGGUUAACCCCCCACAUUGGUACUGAGACACGGACCAAACUCCUACGGAAGGCAGCAG
rnacentral:rRNA from 1 species